rnacentral:rRNA from 1 species
AUGAAAUUCUAUUAUACCAAAGGGACUCGGUAAAGGCGAAGGCAGCCCUCUAUGUAAAAACUGACGUUGAAGGACGAAGGCACAGAGCACAAACAGAAUUAGAUACCCAAGUAGUCUUUGCAGUAAAUGAUGAAUGUCAUAGGUUAGAUUAAGCUUUAAUUAAUUAGUUUAUCAGUAAUGAACUAACUAUUAAACAAUAUUUAGUCUAUAAAUGAAAGUGUAAGCAUUCCACCUCAAGAGUAAUGUGGCAACGCAGGAACUGAAAUCACUAGACCGUUUCUGACACCAGUAGUGAAGUAUGUUGUUUAAUUCGAUGAUCCACGAAAAACCUUACCACAAUUUGAAUAUUUUACAGGAGUUGCACGGCUGUUUUCAGUUAAUGUUGUGAAACUGUGGUUUCCAUGAAAUUAACGCAAUCCCUGGCUUUAUUUUUUUUUUAUUACGAAAAAGCAUUUGAUCCAGGAUUUGGAAAGAAAAAGGGGACAAAGACAAGUCAUCAUGGCCUUGAUAUUGUGGGCUAUAGACGUGCCACAUAUUCCUACACAAAGAGAUGCAAAAAUGUGAAUUUAAGCUAAUCUCUAAAAAUAGGAUAUAAAUUUUAAGGAUUAUAGUCUGAAACUCGACUAUAUGAAUAAGUAAUUACUAGUAAUCGUGAAUCACCAUGUCACGGUGAAUUUACCUUGGAUUGGUACUAACCACUCGUCACAUGCUGAAAAGAGCAUGCGCAAUAAGUUUGCUUUCUUGAUGAUCAGUAAAAAGAAUAAGCAGCUUCUAUAUUCUAUUAUUAAG